rnacentral:tRNA from 1 species
GACGACGUACCCAAGUGGCUAAGGGACCAGAUUGCAAAUCUGACAUUCGUGGGUUCGACUCCCACCGUCGUCUCCA